rnacentral:misc_RNA from 1 species
CUACUUCCGCUGAUCCAAUAUAUGGUGCAGGUAACCGAGUGUGCAUUGAUUGAUAUGCCGCGAUUAUGCAUACUGUAGCCUGAAGUGAGAGGUGCUCACAAUGGAUUCUUCCUUGCUGGGCCAGGUGAUCGCCCAUCGGGGUGUGGCCCUGGCACGGUGCCUACAGACGGAACAAGAAGGGAAGUUGCCACCUGGACUUGUAGAACAUGUGGAAAACCAGAGGUUUCAACCAGCGGAGUCAGAGAUAAAAGAUGAAAGAUUUAUUCAGUCGCUCAACCGUUUCAUCGCCAAAAAGGCUGACCUUCUGUUCAGGAGGGUCGAUGAGGAGGUCAUAGUCGUUCCCAACAAACACAAGUUUGAAGACAACUACGCCAUCAUGCCUGCCCUGGAGUCUUUCAUGGGGAUACCAGCACACGUCUGUAAAGAACAUUUCUUCAAUGGUCUGGAGAAGCGUGAGGUGGUGAUCGGCGUGGUCACAUCAGUGCUGGAGAGUGGCUUGCUGGUAUCUCUGCUGUGUCUGGACUCGGGUCGGGCUCGUGACAUAGACGACUUGAAGAUCAUUGUAUUCUGCCCAGUCAAAGAAGUGCCAAAGAUUGUUCCUGACCAGAGUGCUCUGGAGUCCUUUCAUGCUAAAGAUAUUGUGAGAGGGAUUGUGCUCAAUGUGAAUCCAGAGACACAGAGGAUCAUCAUUUCACUGCAUGAGAAGUCGCUCAACCCUGGAGACCCCAACAACCCUAAACUGGGCCUCAUCAGUGAAGACGACUUCCCUGUACAUUACAGACGGAAGCUGCACGUGCGCGGUCUGACGUUUGACGAGCUCCUGCAGUCCAUCAUGGGUUUCAACAACUCAGGAAACGUGGAGUACCUAGUGAAACUACACAACCUGAAGGACUGCUCCCUCAUGAGGGGCAUUCACAAUUUGAAGCUGCCGGAGAAAGAAUAUGCUGAGAAUCUGCGCAAGUGGCAAUGUCAGAGGCUGGCCCUACAGAGUGUGGCCCAGGGCGUGUCGCUGUUCAAGAAAGGGAGGCAGAUGGAAGCCAUGCAACACCUGAACAAGGCUCUACAGAUCGACGAGAACAACGUGGAGGCUCUUGUGGCUCGAGGAGCAUUGUAUGCCAACAAUGAGAGUUUCACCAGAGCAGUUGAAGACUUUGAACAGGCUCUCAAGAUCAACCCCACCCAUGCUAACGCCAGGAAGUAUUUGCUGGAGACCAAGCUGGCUCAUGGAAAACUAUUUGAAGAUGAGAAGGAUUAUUUGUCGUCGCUGGAGUGUUAUCGCCAGGCUGUAGCUCUUGAUCCCACCAGUGAUGAGGCCUUGACCUUUCUGAGAUCUUUGGAGCACAGGAUGGUCACCACUGGUGUGUCACCCCAACGAGGCCGUUCCCAAGGUCAUUCUCGAGACAGCAGAGAUGAGUCGGCAGAAGAGUGCAGGGAAUUGUCUGGACGCAGACGUAGAGAAGAGUCACCCCGACGACACAGGGACUAUUCACCACGGCGACAGAGAGACGGGUCGCCCCGUAGUCGGCACGAUGAGUCUGUCUUCGAAAAGACAACCGAUAAAUUAAGACGUCUGAUAGAGGAAGAACAGGACAACAGGAGAGAUGAAAGGAAAAGAAAGUACAAACCCACGAAUGAAUCACCACCAAAAUCAAAACUCCGUUGUGAUAGGGAGGAGAGGGAAGUCGACUCCCAGAGACAUUGGGGCUACAGCCACGUAGCAGAUAACCCUUACGCUAGCAUUUUCAACAAAGACGUGUCCAUACCCUGUUUGGGGUCUCCAGAUGCUCAGCCAAAGGAGCCAAGACAUGCUCUAGAAUCAAGUGCAUUUCCAGAAGGAUUUUGCAAUCCACAAGAUCCCAACUUUGUUCCUAAAGCUCGAAAACCUCGAGAAGAGUUUGCAGGAGGAAGAAUGAUAGUACCCACUGAUAGUGAUAGUGAUAGACAGCAAGCUUGGGGAGAACUGAAACUAAGGAGGAUGUCCCACGGAGAUUCCUCCCCGAGUGAGCUUGAUCAGAGUCACAGCCCAAAAAGCACCAAAUCCUCCAAGAGUCCUUUUGAUGAAGAAGCCUUCUUGUAUGGUGAGAGUGAAAUAGACACUUUGCAGAGAAAAUCUCAACGAAUUUUGAAAGGCCGACGGUCGAAUGAUUGGGAAGAGAGAGAAAUGAUGAUAAAAGAAGGGGAUGAUAAAAAGUGUAGAAACUACUAUUUGGAGGACAUGGAACUUAAAACCCAUUCCUCUGUUUCACCUGAAUGGGAGCAUGUGAAGGUGGGCAAGGUUGUGAGACUGGAAUCCCCAAACUUUAAGAAGGGAAAGGGGAAAGGUAAAGCCCGUAAGUCCAGAAGCUCCAGCUCAGAAUCCAGUUCAGGCUCUACUUCCACUUCCAGGUCCAGUUCUAGUUCUAGUUCAAGUUCCUCUUCCUCAUCUUCUUCCUUUGAAGACAAACCCAAGGGGGAUUAUUACGAAAAACAUGGUGUUUCUAUACCCAAGGGAAUUCGAACAGAUGGAAGUUUCAUGGAAAAAGACUACCACAGAUCAUAUGCAGAUGGGAAAGGAAAGAAAGAAAAAGGAAGGGACUCCAGUGCAAGAAAACAUGCCAAGUCAGCAAAAUAUUCUGAUGAAAAGGACAAAUUAUCGAAGCCAAAGAACCAAGGCAGACAUGACUCCAAAGGGGAAGGGAAAACAGGAAGGGAUGACAGGGGUUCUAGUAUUGAAAGAAGUAGCUCAAAGAAGAAGGCAGAGAUCGAAACAAAGAAGAUGCCUGACCGAGGGAAUGAAGAUGACAAGAGGAAGAAACUCAAAGCAUCUGUGGAACCCUGUACUUCGAAAGAAAUAUCAAUGCAAGGAUCUGGAAAUGAGAGAAGAUCUACUUCAAACGAACGAUGGACCCAAGGAUCCAAAAGAUCCAAAUCGCCAGAGAAGGUGCUUCAAGACUCCAGUGUGUCUUCCCUCAGUGAAAAGUUAGAGAAAGCUCAAGGGGAGGAUCUUCCUGUUACCAUAGGUGGGUUUGGGAAGAUUGAUGAGUUGCCAAGAGGUGUCAGCAAGGAUGAAGAAGCUUUACAGUCUCAUCUGUCCAGCAGAUCUCUGUUUCAUGUGGCCUCCAAGUGGGACGACUCACCACCCGUCGACAUCAAGAUCAAACCAGAUGGGGGGAAGUAUGACAAUAUUCAGAUCAGUAUAACCACCGGUGGGAAGUCUGCCACUCCAAAUGAUCCAAGUGGCAUUCAUAUCUUUUCCGGGAAACAGUUGUCAAAGUAUCGGGCUGAUAAGCAUGUGGAAGAGAAUGAGUCAGAUGAUGAUGAACUUGAGCGAUUGUUCCUCAAGGAGAAGGGUCUGCAGAAAGAUCUCAAGGGGAAGAAGCAAGGAGCCAAAGACAAGAUGCAAGAAGCUCCACAGAAAAGUUUUUCUCAGUCUUUCGAAGAAGAGAAGUUUUCAAGACGUGAUUCAGAAGGAAAUUCAGAAAGGAGAGACAGUAAGGGCAGACAGGAUGUACCCAAGGAGAGGUCAAGGUCUCAAAGGAAAGAUAAUACUGUGUCCAGCAAAGGGAAGAGGAAGAGUUCUACAGUUACGGGCAACUAUGAUGAGGAUGGGCACAGCGAUAACUACAGCAAUGACUAUAGUUUUGACGAAUAUAAAACUGAUCGUUAUCGUGAUGAAAGGGAUAAACGUGACUCUUAUCAUCAUGAUGAAUAUCGUCACCAUAGUCACGAUGAUUAUGAAGAUGAACAUCACGAUCGUGACAAAUGGCGUGAUAGAUAUGAUGAUGAUCGACGAAGUCGGUAUGAUGAUGAUCAUCAUCGCAAAGAAUAUUCUCUUGAAAAGCGAAGGGGGAAUGAACGGAAUAGAGGCAAGGAUUUGUAUGAUGAUGAUAGUUAUGAUUACACUAGACAAGACUGUCGACCACGCAUAGGGAGAAAUCGGCAAUGUGAUAGAUACUGUAGAAAGAAUCACUGCGAAGGUACCAGAGGAAGUAGAGACAGGAGUAGAUCCCGUAGUCCACCAAGGCGGAGGUCAAGGUCAUACACAUCAUCAUCAACAUGGUCGUCAUCCUCAUCCUCCGCCUCAUCAAGGAGCCGGUCAAGAGAAAGAUCACCGCCAAGAAAACCCCCUUCCAAAGGCAACAAGACAACCCUCACCAAAGCAAACAUUGAAGAAAGAAGAACCGUCACAGAAAAUAAAUACCUUGGCCACAAAGCCAGCAAUACCCAGCACUGUUGUAGCGGCUCCGAUCGCAAUGGAUGCAGCAGUGCCUGUGAUAGAGGCAGAUGCUGAGGCAAUGACUGAGGAGAAGAGGCAAUCGCUAAGGGAGCUGGAAUCCUUUCUCACUGACCUCAAAGACAGGAAGAAGCAACAGUGGAUUGCUGAGGGAAAAGUGAAGACUACCGUUUGAGUGAACAUACAAUGUUUCAAGUUUGGUUUAACAAUCAACUUGUACUUAAGACGAUGUAAGUGAGGAGUCUGAAGUAAGAACUUAAUUCAUUGUUAUGGCUUUAUUUUCUACCUAUCUUGAUAAUCAUGAUUAUCACAAUUAAGAAAAUAGAAAUUAUGAAUUGUUUCACUUGCUUAUCCCGAUGAAUGACUGAUCAGUGAUAUGUAAUUGAGUUUUGAUUAUUUAGCACUCGAAGCGAUCAAUUUUGUUGCAAUAAUGAGGACAAUUGUUUUGGUUUUUUACAAAAAAUCCCACUACAAUCAGCACUGGAUCUAUGGUGUUGGAUAAUUUUGUGAUUCUAUUACUUCAUGAAAGGACAUUCAGGACUCCAGAA